CCUACGGGAGGCUGCAGUGAGGAAUAUUGGUCAAUGGGCGCUAGCCUGAACCAGCCAAGUAGCGUGAAGGAUGACUGCCCUAUGGGUUGUAAACUUCUUUUAUAUGGGAAUAAAGUGCAGUAUGUAUACUGCUUUGCAUGUACCUUAUGAAUAAGGAUCGGCUAACUCCGUGCCAGCAGCCGCGGUAAUACGGAGGAUCCGAGCGUUAUCCGGAUUUAUUGGGUUUAAAGGGAGCGUAGGCGGGUUGUUAAGUCAGUUGUGAAAGUUUGCGGCUCAACCGUAAAAUUGCAGUUGAUACUGGCAGCCUUGAGUACAGUAGAGGUAGGCGGAAUUCGUGGUGUAGCGGUGAAAUGCUUAGAUAUCACGAAGAACUCCGAUUGCGAAGGCAGCCUGCUGGACUGUCACUGACGCUGAUGCUCGAAAGUGUGGGUAUCAAACAGGAUUAGAUACCCGAGUAGUC
rnacentral:rRNA from 1 species